CUAAGGUAGCAUAAUCACUUGCCUCUUAAUUGGUGGCUAGUAUGAAAGGAUAAACGAGAGCUAAGCUGUCUCUUAUUUACUACAUAAAAAUUAACCUUCAGGUGAAAAGGCCUGAUUCGAUUUAUAAGACAAGAAGACCCUGUCAAGCUUUACUAAAAAGACCUAAAAAGCAAAUUUCAACCACUGCUUCAAAUUUCAUACUAGUUUAGUUGGGGCGACUAAGGACCAAAACAAACGUCCUUCCACAAACAAAGGAUAAUAAUCCUCCUAUAUCUGAUCCUUAAAAGGAUAAAGAGACAAGCUACUGCAGGGAUAACAGGCUAAUUUUUCCUAAGAGUCCAAAUCGAAG
rnacentral:rRNA from 1 species